AUUGAACGCUGGCGGCAGGCCUAACACAUGCAAGUCGAGCGAGCGGCGGACGGGUGAGUAAUGUAUGGGGAUCUGCCUGAUGGAGGGGGAUAACUACUGGAAACGGUAGCUAAUACCGACUACCAUCAGAUGAACCCAUAUGGGCUUAGCUGGUAGGUAAGGUAACGGCUUACCUAGGCGACGAUCACUAGCUGGUCUGAGAGGAUGAUCAGCCACACUGGACCUGAGAAACGGCCCAGACUCCUACGGGGGGCAGCGUUGGGGAUUAUUGCAAAAGGGGGGCAAGCCUGAUGAGGCCAUGCGGCGGGUAUGAAGAAGGCUUUAGGGUUGUAAAGUACUUUCAGCGGGGAGGCGUUACCCGCAGAAGAAGCACCGGCUAACUCCGUGCCAGCAGCCGCGGUAAUAC
rnacentral:rRNA from 1 species